GACGGAGGGGGCUAGCGUUGUUCGGAAUGACUGGGCGUAAAGGGCGCGUAGGCGGUUUUUUAAGUGAGGCGUGAAAGCCCUGGGCUUAACCCAGGAGGUGCGUUUCAUACUGGAAAGCUUGAGUACGAGAGAGGAAAGCGGAAUUCCUAGUGUAGAGGUGAAAUUCGUAGAUAUUAGGAAGAACACCAGUGGCGAAGGCGGCUCACUGGCCCGGUACUGACGCUGAGGCGCGAAAGCGUGGGGAGCAAACAGG
rnacentral:rRNA from 1 species